CUCAUACUCCCUUCAUGCGGAAAUACUUGUCGUCAAAAUGAACAAAAGGGGAUGUAUCUAGACAUAUUUUAGUUCUAGAUACAUCAUUUUUUAUCCAUUUUGACGACAAGUAUUUUCGGACGGAGGGAGUACCAC
rfam:Triticum aestivum genome assembly, contig: Triticum_aestivum_CS42_TGACv1_scaffold_374345_5AL